rnacentral:lncRNA from 1 species
UUAAGAGAGAGAGCUAUUAAUACUAAAUAACACAAGGUUUUUAGAAGAAAAAAAAUUGAUUCUAGCUUCAAAAGUUUGUUAACUUGGCUACAUAUACAUAUUACUAUGGUACAUGUCAACAGUUAGUCUGACUUAUGCAGAUUAUGAAGAAUAUACAAGGAAGCAGAAGACAAGAAAAUACACACUGAGUAGCUCAAUAGAUCAGUACCAGUAGCUAUAGUCACCAUCUUACUCCUCUCGAACAUCUUGACAAGAAGGAUCAUGACAAUGACAUGUCCCACUUUGGUUUUUAGUUCAUCGAGCGAACUGAUCUUCAUCCAUUUUGGCC